AUUGAACGCUGGCGGCAGGCCUAACACAUGCAAGUCGAACGGUAACAGGAAGCAGCUUGCUGCUUUGCUGAUGAGUGGCGGACGGGUGAGUAAUGUCUGGGAAACUGCCUGAUGGAGGGGGAUAACUACUGGAAACGGUAGCUAAUACCGCAUAACGUCGCAAGACCAAAGAGGGGGACCUUCGGGCCUCUUGCCAUCGGAUGUGCCCAGAUGGGAUUAGCUAGUAGGUGGGGUAACGGCUCACCUAGGCGACGAUCCCUAGCUGGUCUGAGAGGAUGACCAGCCACACUGGAACUGAGACACGGUCCAGACUCCUACGGGAGGCAGCAGUGGGGAAUAUUGCACAAUGGGCGCAAGCCUGAUGCAGCCAUGCCGCGUGUAUGAAGAAGGCCUUCGGGUUGUAAAGUACUUUCAGCGGGGAGGAAGGGAGUAAAGUUAAUACCUUUGCUCAUUGACGUUACCCGCAGAAGAAGCACCGGCUAACUCCGUG
rnacentral:rRNA from 1 species